AUCCAGCUGGUGAGUCCCAAAUAGGACGAAACACGCGUCCUGGAU
rfam:Schistosoma mansoni, Puerto Rico, WGS project CABG01000000 data, contig: 2430